CGAGCGCACCCUUCGGGGCGAGCGGCGACGGGUUAGUAACGCGUGGGAAUGUACCCUUCUCUAUGGAAUAGCCUCGGGAAACUGAGAGUAAUACCAUAUACGCCCUUCGGGGGAAAGAUUUAUCGGAGAAGGAUCAGCCCGCGUAAGAUUAGAUAGUUGGUGGGGUAAUGGCCUACCAAGUCUACGAUCUUUAGCUGGUUUUAGAGGAUGAUCAGCAACACUGGGACUGAGACACGGCCCAG
rnacentral:rRNA from 1 species